UUAGGUUUGCCAUGCAUGGUUAAUAAAUUCGAAUCGAUUCGUCUGCCUCUCACAGAUUGGGACUACUUGAUCGCUAUUCUGCACUAAGUAAAGAUGGAACAUGAUGAUGAUUUUAAUCUUGAUGGUUGUCAAAUAAUUGCUUGGAAACCAUGUUUGUUUAGUAUAAGUUGCUAAUCUAGAAUGGAUAAAGAACAUAGAACAUGAGCUAAAAGGUGAAAGUAAGGACUAACUUAGAC
rnacentral:lncRNA from 1 species